AUUGAACGCUGGCGGCAGGCCUAACACAUGCAAGUCGAACGAGUGGCGGACUGGUGAGUAAUGUCUGGGAAACUGCCCGAUGGAGGGGGAUAACUACUGGAAACGGUAGCUAAUACCGCAUACCAUCGGAUGUGCCCAGAUGGGAUUAGCUAGUAGGUGGGGUAACGGCUCACCUAGGCGACGAUCCCUAGCUGGUCUGAGAGGAUGACCAGCCAAACGGGGACUGAGACACGGGCCAGAACCCGACGGGGGGGAGCAGUGGGGAAUAUUUGAAAAUGGGGGCAAGCCUGAUGGAAGCAAGCCGCGGGUAUGAAGAAGGGCUUCGGGUUGUAAAAGUCUUUCAGCGGGGAGGCGUUACCCGCAGAAGAAGCACCGGCUAACUCCGUGCCAGCAGCCGCGGUAAUAC
rnacentral:rRNA from 1 species